AUCAAAUAUUAUAUAGUGCAAUUGAUGAUAUUGGUUGGAUCGAUUAUGUUUUCUGAUGUUAUCCUUGUUUGAAUUCGAACAAAUAAUUGCUAAAUUACUCUAGUGGCUAAUGUGGAUGAUGUAC